rnacentral:rRNA from 1 species
UACGAAGGGGGCUAGCGUUGUUCGGAAUUAUUGGGCGUAAAGGGCGCGUAGGCGGUGCGGUAAGUCACCUGUGAAAACUCUGGGCUCAACUCAGAGCCUGCAGGCGAAACUGCCGUGCUUGAGUGUGGGAGAGGUGCGUGGAAUUCCCGGUGUAGCGGUGAAAUGCGCAGAUAUCAGGAGGAACACCGGUGGCGAAGGCGGAUCUCUGGGCCAUUACUGACGCUGAGGUGCGAAAGCGUGGGGAGCAAACAGG